rnacentral:rRNA from 1 species
AACACAUGCAAGUCGUGGGGCAGCAUGUAGACAGGUUUUCUUGUCUAUGAUGGCGACCGGCGCACGGGUGAGUAACGCGUAUCCGACCUGCCGCAUAAAGGGGAAUAGGCUUGCGAAAGUAAGAUUAAUGCCCCGUGUGGUCCAGAUGAUGCAUGUUGUUUGGAUUAGAGGCUUGAGCCGUUAUGCGAUGGGGAUGCGUCCGAUUAGCUGGUUGGCGGGGUAACGGCCCACCAAGGCGACGAUCGGUAGGGGUUCUGAGAGGAAGGUCCCCCACAUUGGAACUGAGACACGGUCCAAACUCCUACGGGAGGCAGCAGUGAGGAAUAUUGGUCAAUGGGCGAGAGCCUGAACCAGCCAAGUAGCGUGCAGGAAGACGGCCCUAUGGGUUGUAAACUGCUUUUGUGCGGGAAUAAAGUGCGCGACGUGUCGUGCAUUGCAUGUACCGCGUGAAUAAGGACCGGCUAAUUCCGUGCCAGCAGCCGCGGUAAUACGGAAGGUCCGGGCGUUAUCCGGAAUUAUUGGGUUUAAAGGGAGCGUAGGCGGGCUUGUAAGUCAGCUGUGAAAUGUCCGGGCUCAACCUGGGAAUUGCAGUUGAGACUGCUGGUCUUGAGUAUGGUGAGGGACGGUGGAAUUCGUGGUGUAGCGGUGAAAUGCUUAGAUAU